rnacentral:rRNA from 1 species
UACGUAGGGUGCGAGCGUUAAUCGGAAUUACUGGGCGUAAAGCGUGCGCAGGCGGUUGUGCAAGACAGGUGUGAAAAUCCCCGGGCGUUAACCUGGGAACGUGCACUUGUGACUGCACGGCUGGAGUGCGGCAGAGGGGGAGUGAAUUCCGCGUGUAGCAGUGAAAUGCGUAGAGAUGCGGAGGAACACCGAUGGCGAAGGCAGCCCCCUGGGAUAACACUGACGCUCAUGCACGAAAGCGUGGGGAGCAAACAGGAUUAGAAACCCUAGUAGU